rnacentral:rRNA from 1 species
UCUUAUUGCUCUAAAGACACUAACUGCCUCUUAGUGUUUUAAGAGGGCCUAGCUGGUACUUGGAUGGGAAACCACCUGGGAAUACCGAGUGCUGUAUGCA